AGGUCUUGGUCUUAAACCUUCUAUUAUCUCGUCCUCUAAUUAUACAUGCAAGCCUCACCACAACAGUGAAAAAACCCACCACCCACAACCCCGGAGUAGG
rnacentral:rRNA from 1 species